GGGUCGAUGGCGUAGUUGGUCAUCGCAUCUGUCUUACAUACGGCGUGUGCUGCGUCUAUGUUCGUUCCACAGAAGGUCCUCAGUUCGAGCCUGGGUCGACUCA